UACGAAGGGGGGCUAGCGUUGCUCGGAAUCACUGGGCGUAAAGGGUGCGUAGGUGGGUCUUUAAGUCAGGGGGUGAAAUCCUGGAGCUCAACUCCAGAACUGCCUUUGAUACUGAAGAUCUUGAGUUCGGGAGAGGUGAGUGGAACUGCGAGUGUAGAGGUGAAAUUCGUAGAUAUUCGCAAGAACACCAGUGGCGAAGGCGGCUCACUGGCCCGAUACUGACGCUGAGGCACGAAAGCGUGGGAGCAAACAGGG
rnacentral:rRNA from 1 species